rnacentral:rRNA from 1 species
CAGUAACACACGCCUGGGAGUCGCCGCAAGUUAACUCAAUGAAUGACGGGACCGCACAGUAGUGAGCAUGUGGUUAAUGAAGAUCGCGCAGACCUUCCACACUGACAUGUCGUCGCGGCUCUAAGAGAUUAGAGCUUCGGUCGCCGGACGAAACACAGGUGCUGCAUGGCUGUCGUCAGCUCGUGUCGUGAGAUGUUGGGUUAAGUCCCGCAACGAGCGCACCCUCACUUUUAGUUGCCAUCAUUUAGUUGGGCACUCUGAAAGAACUGCCAGUGAUAAGCUGGAGGAAGGUGGGGAUGACGUCAAGUCCUCAUGGCCCUUACGUGUUGGGCUACACACGUGCUACAAUGGCAUUUACAAUAGGAAGCAAGAUGGCGACGUCAAGCAAAUCCUAAAAAGAUGCCUCAGUUCGGAUUGUACUCUGCAACUCGAGUACAUGAAGCUGGAAUUACUAGUAAUCGCGGAUCAGCGCGCCGCGGUGAAUACGUUCCCGGGUCUUGUACACACCGCCCGUCACACCAUGGGAGUUGGUUCUACCUUAAGGCAAGGUUUAAAACCCUUGACCACGGUAUAGUCAGCGACUGGGGGAAGUCGUAACAAGGUAACC